AAAGCUCCUUAGAGGAACAAGCAAACAAUGUGAUGAAUAUCACAGGAAAUGACACAAUUCGAAGAGCUGGACCGUAUCGACAUCCCCUAUUGUUCAGAGAAAAAAGAACGUCUCCUCUGGCGAGUUCUUACUUUGGUUAAAAGAGAAAAACCCAAUUAAUUAUAUUUAUUUCAUAGGCCGAACAAACUUGUGUGAUUUCAUAGAGUAGACUCUUCCCAAUGUUUGUCUCUAGGAAAAGAUUGAUACUGUUAUGGACUGGCCUUCGUCUUUGUAAAUGGCAACUUUACAUUGAAUCGAGGAGUUCCGCAAUAUCUAUAUUCACCUAGGGGCCGUUGCAAUGUUACAACAUAUGGACAUCCGUUGUGAAAUGGUGGAGUAACUGACGUGCCACAACUCGAUGUCUAAUGGAUGCUCCAUGUACAUCUGGACUUUGGCUAGGAAAGGUUGGCGCACAACUGGAGACCCCGAUGUGCCUUGCAAAUGUCCAAUGUAUUAAUCCAUUUAUAUAAGUUUUGGAUUUGCAAAGUUAUGAAACGUAGACGGUGAUGUACAAUCUCAGUCAAUAAAAUAGUAAUAAUUACAUUUAUGCUGCCAUUAGCAGAACUCAAAGGGGCCUAAACAUUUCUCAUGUAAGUUGAUGUAAAGACUGGCAUGCAUAGAUGCCAUUCAAGUGGCUGCAACCAGAAGUGACCAAUGUCUUCAGUGGUUCAAGAGUUUGGGAAAGUUACACUUGGAGCCUCGGUUUUCAUGAGGGCAGAAUCUCCUUUUCCAUGUCUUCCUCCAUUUUACCAGCAGAUUGCCGCCUGUUAGCACUUGCAGAUCGAUGGGGAAAAGAACGCAAGAUUUGCAAAGUUUCACCCUCUGCACAUUUUGAGUCUGAAUGACUGAAUUUUCAUUUGGGGACCAAUGCUCUUCUUCCCGCAUGGCUAGACCUUUGCUCUGGGACCUUCUUUGAACAUGAGCAUCCAGUAACUAUCUUUAAAUCUUUUUCCUGGUUUACUCUCUGCUUUGAGGAGAAAGAUGAGAGAAAAUAACAUACAAAGAGCAAAUAAGAUGUUUCAUUCUUCUAAAAUGAACAAAAGUCAUGAGACGUUGCUGCCUUUCAAGGAAGACAAGAUGGCCAGAAGUGAAACAGGAAGGAGGAAGGUCAGAAGAAGUCAACUGUUGGCCGAGUAUGACUAAGUUUUUGACAGUUGCAUUACUUCCUUUAUGGAUGUUUUUCCCACAUUUCUUGCCCUUCACGAAGCAAGGGUUAUGUCAACCUUUACUCGGGGUUGCCUGUUGAGGAUCAUCUCAAACGCUGAGGUUUCGAAGCCAAAACCUGAGAGCAAGGGACAAUGGUCCCUUCCGUUCUCUAUUUGAAAGACCAUUUUCUCCCUUAGGAACCAGCCCAUGCUUUGAGCUCUUUCGGGGAGGCCCUUUACUCCAUCCCACCGCCCUCAAAGUAAUAUUUGAUGGGAACGCGGGAGACACAGGGCCUUUUUGGUGGUUCUGAAAAGCCCCUUCCAGAAAGGUUAGACUGGUAUUCUCCCUAUUUUCUUUUCACAAGUAAGAAAAGACUUUUCUGUUUCGGUACACAUUUGAUGACUGACUGUAAGCAAUGUGCUUAAAGAAUCUGCUAAUUGUUGUGCUGGUGUGCAUAUAUGUGUGUGUGUGUGUGUAACACAUAUACCAUGUUUUAAUCUUGUUUUAAACAUUUUGGUUGGUCAAUCUUUGCAUCUUGUGACUGUUUAACAGUGUGUUUUUUAACUUGUUGUUCGCUGUUUGAGUCCUGAACUGGGGGAAGAGAAGGAUAGAGAUAAAUAUCAUCAUCAUCAUUAUCAUCAUCAUUAUCAUCAUCAUCAAGUUGGAUGCUGAAUGGAGCAGAGAGCGAGUCCUGGCCCCACAAUGACUGCAAGGGAAGGAGGAAGGAACAAACUGGAUCCAUGCCUUAUCCCCAACUUUCACAAACUGGAACUGCAGAGGCUGAUAAGAUGAAAACUGGACCUGCAACACUGUGGAGACACCACCCAAAAACGGAUGGUUAGCAAUGUACACUGCAUACCUUCCAACAUUUCACAGAGGGGAACUGGGAAUCCUGAGGCCAAGCCACACUGGGACGUGGUCAAGAGGGCAAAAGUGAUCAAUGAGGAAGAACAGCCAAGCUAUGAUUAGUUGCAGCGGUGUGCUUUUGCCUUAUCUGACUGAGAAGGGCAUGAUUCAGCUGCCUCCUCUUCUGUCCUCUCCCUCCUGCUGAGUUAAUGGAGGGCAAACUGCUUUGGCAUUUGGAUCUCAAUUUGCAAGAAGACAAGUAAGCUGGGGUUGAAAGAGGAAGGUAGGAGAGAGAGUGAGAAACCUGGACUCCCAAGAGUGAUUAAAGGGGACUGCCCUUGCCAAAUUGGGCAAGUUGGAGGGGAUGAAAGAGGGAACCAUCUUGCAAAGGCUGAGGGGGAAGGAGCCAUGCAAAGCCUUACCUGCCCAAGCCAGGAUGCAGUCCUUGGCCAAGAACAUCUCUGGAGCCCAGCAGCCCCCUCAGCACCAGAGGAAUGAGUCCCGACCCAAAGGCAAUGCCUCUGGAGGGUAGCUUCAAGGGGAGGUCUGAGGUCUUCCAGUUUGUUGCAAAGGAACAGCCCUCUUCCAGUGGGUGGUGCCACAUGAUGCUGGUGCCACUGGUUGCCCCCACUGAAAGCUAGAGAGGCCUUGGGCACAAGAGAGGAGGAACCAGCUCUGUCUACCUGGAAGACCAUUCCCCCCGCAAACAACCUCUGCUCCUUUGGGCUUCAGGUCAGGUCCUUUUGCUUCUCCAGCUUCAGCUCUUGCUUUUUGACUUUUCUGCUACCAACUGUGCCUGGCUUUGCUCUUGGGGAGGUUUGGGAUGCCUCUGAAGCACAGAACGAUGGGCAUGGGUCUUUGGCCGGGGUCAGAGUCUUAGCUGUAUUAUGAAGGUUUUUUCCAUCCAAAUAUUGAUAGAGAUAUUUUUAUCCCAUGCCUAUUAUUUUAAAGGAAUGCCAGGGAGCAUUUGGAUUUUCUACAUCAGAUGUCAGGGUGUCUUCCUAAAACUUCUCACUUUCAUGCUUUCAAACGGAAGAGUUAAAAUCUCAAAGCAUCCCAAGAGGUUCUUCCACGAAUCCUCCCAGUUGCGUUUUGGGGGGAACAUCUUGUGGCUUUCAUUCUUGGCUUCCACAGAAAUUGCUAGCAAACUGCAAGACGCCACGGAAGAAAGGGGACAAGGUGAGAUUCGCUCACCUGCCAGCCUCGUUCGGAGCUCACAAACCGUGGGGCCUCUUUGCUAGAGAUGCUCUUCCAUUGCCUUGGGAUGAUCCUCCUUUCUCUGCACACUGCUGAGCCACUGGGAAAUUCACAGAGUCUCCAAAGAUUGCCUCAGAUCUUGGCAUUUGCUGGGGAUUCUGUCACCAUCAACUGCAACGUUUCAGCAGGAAAAGGUUUGAUGCCAUUGCUGACUUGGUUCAAGGAGGAGCAGGACAGAAGCUUACGGAAGAUUGAGGAAAGGAGCUCUAAAUACUCCAGAAGAGAAUCAAGCCUGACCAACAGAGUGAAUCUGACCCUCCAUCGUGUGCAAAGGAAUGACUCUGGGGUUUAUUACUGCCGUGCGUAUGUCCGGAUUGUGAGUGGAACCAGACUGAUAGUCUCAGAUGCUCAAAAUCCAAGUCUGUCCAUCUUUCUGCUUUCCUCCUUGGAAGGGGCUCAGCGCAACCACAGCCUCCCCCUCCUUUGCUUCCUCCCCAAUGCAAACCCUUCUAGGGAUAAGAUCUCUUGGGAUGUUGGUGGAGAAACAUCUCAGGAAGACCAAGCAGAUGUUGGCAUGAUAAAUGUGGAAGGAGUCUUCAGCAUCUGGAGUCUGAAGCUGAUUCCUCCAGAGAGACAGAUCCCAGGCACAUACUAUUCUUGCUUGAAUAAAGGAAACAGACACCUCAGCGCCAUGAUUCUGAUGGAUCCCUUGCCCAGAGGAAAAUGCCUUCGCAUAUUAUAUUUUGGGAUACCCUGCGUUGUCAUUCUCCUCUCAGUUCUAGCCUUGAUCCUCUUGUUCAGGAAGCAUCUCUUUGGAGGAGAAGUUGAGAAACAAGCUCAUGAAAUACCCAUGAGGCAGAUUCAACAGAUGCUUCAGGUCCAAGUCUCUCCAUCUUUCUGCCUUCCUACUUGGAAGGGGCUCAACCCAACCACAGCCUCCCCCUCCUUUGCCUCUCCUUCAAUGCAAAUCCUUCUGGGGACAAGAUCUCUUGGGAUGUUGGUGGAGAAACAUCUCAGGAAGACCAGGCAGAUGUUGGCAUGAUAGAUGGGGAAGGAACCUUCAGCAUCUGGAGUCUGAAGCUGGUUCCUCCAGAGAGAUGGAUCCCGGGGACAUCCUACACUUGCUCAGAUCAAGGGAACAGAAGCAUUAGUGCUAUAAUUCCCACAGAGACCAUGCCUAGAGGAAAAUGCUUUCCCAGAUUAUAUUUUGGGAUCCCUUGCAUGGUUGUUCUCCUGUCAGCGCUACUCUUGAUCCUCUUCUUCAGGAAGCAACUCUUUGGAGGGAAAGUUAAGAAACCAGCCCAUGAAAUAACUGUGGGGCAGAUUCCACAGACGGAAUAUGCAGAAUUCCGAUGCAACAGAUGAAGGAACAGUGGUUUUCCAACGAAUUGAUUCUGGUUGCAAUUCAUGCCAGUGUUUGAAGAACGGAAGACACAAGGAAGGAAGCCAAAUUUCAGUUUUAACUGGGUCACCGUAGUUGUUUGUAUUAAAUGAAAUGUCCGCUCUACACACUUGCGACUGGUGUCCUCAUUCACACAAGUGUAUCCUCUUGGCCACACACUCGGUGUGAUGCUGGCAAGGAAAUGCCGUGAGAUGCGGCAAUGGCUUGCCGUCAUCCCUUCAGACGUUCCCUUGGGAUUCUCACCUUUUCUUCCUCUUCCCUCUCCUUGAAGGAAAUUCCAGCUGAGCGUAGUAGCAAACGCCUUCCUGUUUCACAAACAGGAGGCAACAGUUUGUUUGCUUGUCUUAAUGGGAGCCCGUUUUUCUCCAGAGGCAUGCGUUGUGUGACAGUUGGCAUACACACCCAACAGAAAUAAAACCAAUUGCAAAGCUAAACCAGUUCCAAAACCCGUUAGUUUGGUGGCUCCUUCUGCUCUUUGCGGGAAGGCCUUUCCAUCCGCUCUGGGCUUUAGUCUGAACUUUAAAACCUAUCGGUCUUGCGGAAAGAGAAGACAACAAGAAUAGCAAUGGCAGCAAUACCAUCUGAGGAAGUAGACUGAGAUCUAGGGAAGCUAAUGCUGCCAAUGUCUUUCUUUCAGUUAGUCUCAAAGGUGCUAUAAGAUCUCUCUACAUGCUUUACAGACUAACAUGGCUAUAUCGGUGCUUGUGUGUUGUAUUUUAAGGGUAAGGUUGUUGUGGUUAUGCACCUUAAAGUUCAGGGCAACCUAUGGCAAAUGUCAUGGGGAUUUCUUGGGCAGAUAUCAUCAUCACAGGAGUGUUGCAUUGCCUUCCUCCGAGGCUGAGAGAGUGGGGCUUUCCCAAGGAAACACAAUGGCUUUGCAUGGGCAAGCCGGGAUUCAAACCCUGGUCCAGCAGAGUCCUUGUCCAGAACUGAAGCCACGAUAGGCCACUGUCUCUCAAAGGGUGAGAAAUACAUUGUUAGAAGGUGCAAGAAAGGAGAUUCUGUUUAAUAUUUAGGCAGGAAACCUUGAAUAUCAGAACUGUUUGGCAGAGGAAUAUGGACUGCCUUGGGGGCUGCUGGAGUCUCCUUUAAACAGAGGUUGGAUGGCAUAUUUUGGGAGUGUAUUGUUUGUUUAUUUAUUUACGGUAUUAAUACCCCCCUCUUCAUCC